GACGUAGGGCGCGAGCGUUGUCCGGAUUUAUUGGGCGUAAAGGGCUCGUAGGCGGCCAACUAAGUCAGACGUGAAAUCCCUCGGCUUAACCGGGGAACUGCAUCUGAUACUGGAUGGCUUGAGUUCGGGAGAGGGAUGCGGAAUUCCAGGUGUAGCGGUGAAAUGCGUAGAUAUCUGGAGGAACACCGGUGGCGAAGGCGGCAUCCUGGACCGGCAUUGACGCUGAGGCGCGAAAGCCAGGGGAGCAAACGGG
rnacentral:rRNA from 1 species